rnacentral:misc_RNA from 1 species
AAGUCGUAACAAGGUAUCCGUAGGUGAACCUGCGGAUGGAUCAUUAUCACGUAUCCACGUAUCAACCAUUGUGAACCGUAUUUACCUUCUGAUAAGAAUAUUCCGUAGAACCGAUGCUCAAUUCUAUAGUUUAUAAUGAAUGAAUACCCUCAACGAGCGAGUCUUCGGACCUCGCCCGACGAGUCAGUCAUUCAUGUAAAAGUCUCGAGACCCUGAGGAACUACCGAUGUUUUUAUCAGACUGUAAUAUUUAAUUAACAAUUUAAACCUUAAAUUUUUAUAACUUUUGAACUGACUUAUUUUAUACUCUUCGGAGAUAAAAUUCAUUACGAAACAAAGAACAACUCUUAGCAACGGAUAUCUUGGUUCUC